CUUCUUUUCCUUUUAACCUAUACUUUCCAUUAACAUUAAUUACUUCAUACACUUUCCAUUUGCUUGUCCAACGUUUUUCCUUCAGCUGUAUAAAGUUCUUCUAUACCAUCUCCAUCUCCUUCUUCUUCUUCCAUGUUAGGUCAUGUGUAUGGAGAUGCUUGGUAGUGCAUUUUGGACAAGAAUAAAGAGGAGAAGGAGCAGAAGACAAUAUCAGAGGCUGAAGCAUAAUACAAAAAAAUGGAAGAUUAGAGUGCAAAAGCUGAAAUUAAGACCAAAAAUCAGUUCCUCCAUGAAGAUUUUGAGAAGAUUUAGAGAUGGUUAUGUUCAAAUGAUGAUUAAAUUAGCUGAACAUUUACCUCAGUUGAACAAUGGUAAUAAUGUCAGCUUCUCUUUUAAGAGAAUUAUUCAAAAAUCAUCUCCUUUCUCAUAUUCAGAAAUGUCUAGUUUCUAACUAUGUAAUUUUUUUUUUUUUUUUUUUCUAAAAAUGCAUCAUCUUAUCAACGACCAUGUAUUUUGUUAUCUUGUAUAACUGGUUGUGAUUGUGAAGGCCACAUGGGCUUUGCAGGGGAGGAAAUGGGCAUGGGAUAUUCUGAAUAUGAUAAUAUAUGUUUAGACAUCGAUAUGUACCUGCUCUGCUGGAGCUGGUGCUUUCUCCAAAUUGUAGCCAUAUUGUGGACCUGCUGGAAAUAAAUUAUCCUCCUGGCUAUAUUCGAAAUGGGAAAUGGAGACAAUUUAGAAAAAAUAAGCUAGGUAUGGGAAUCGGCUCCCUACUGAGGAUGGAUAAUGACCCAAUUGAUCAUAUCUCCUUCUUGUUUGAUUUAUUUGUACUAUGAGGUGCGGUUAAAAUCGUUGUAGAUAAUUUCAUCCAUUGGUUCAAGCA